CUGCAGCUCGAGUGGUGACCGCUAUUAUUGGGCCUAAAACGUCCGUAGCCGGACGAGUAAAUGCUUGGGUAAAUCGUGCCGCUUAACGGUACGAAUUCCGAGUAGACUGCUUGUCUUGAGACCGGGAGAAGCUAGAGGUACUCCUGGGGUAGGGGUGAAAUCCUGUAAUCCUGGGGGGACCACCAGUGGCGAAGGCGUCUAGCUAGAACGGGUCUGACGGUGAGGGACGAAACCCUGGGGCGCAAACCGGAUUAGAUACCCGAGUAGUCC
rnacentral:rRNA from 1 species